GGCGGGGUAACGGCCCACCAAGGCAACGAUCAGUAGGGGUUCUGAGAGGAAGGUCCCCCACAUUGGAACUGAGACACGGUCCAAACUCCUACGGGAGGCAGCAGUGAGGAAUAUUGGUCAAUGGGCGAGAGCCUGAACCAGCCAAGUAGCGUGCAGGAAGACGGCCCUAUGGGUUGUAAACUGCUUUUAUAAGGGAAUAGAGUGAGUCUCGUGAGACUUUUUGCAUGUACCUUAUGAAUAAGGACCGGCUAAUUCCGUGCCAGCAGCCGCGGUAAUACGGAAGGUCCGGGCGUUAUCCGGAUUUAUUGGGUUUAAAGGGAGCGUAGGCCGGAGAUUAAGCGUGUUGUGAAAUGUAGACGCUCAACGUCUGCACUGCAGCGCGAACUGGUUUCCUUGAGUACGCACAAAGUGGGCGGAAUUCGUGGUGUAGCGGUGAAAUGCUUAGAUAUCACGAAGAACUCCGAUUGCGAAGGCAGCUCACUGGAGCGCAACUGACGCUGAAGCUCGAAAGUGCGGGUAUCGAACAGGAUUAGAUACCCUGGUAGUCCGCACGGUAAACGAUGGAUGCCCGCUGUUGGUCUGAACAGGUCAGCGGCCAAGCGAAAGCAUUAAGCAUCCCACCUGGGGAGUACGCCGGCAACGGUGAAACUCAAAGGAAUUGACGGGGGCCCGCAUAAGCGGAGGAACAUGUGGUUUAAUUCGAUGAUACGCGAGGAACCUUACCCGGGCUUGAAUUGCAGAGGAAGGAUUUGGAGACAAUGACGCCCUUCGGGGUCUCUGUGAAGGUGCUGCAUGGUUGUCGUCAGCUCGUGCCGUGAGGUGUCGGCUUAAGUGCCAUAACGAGCGCAACCCCUCUCCUUAGUUGCCAUCAGGUUAAGCUGGGCACUCUGGGGACACUGCCACCGUAAGGUGUGAGGAAGGUGGGGAUGACGUCAAAUCAGCACGGCCCUUACGUCCGGGGCUACACACGUGUUACAAUGGCAGGUACAGAGAGACGGUUGUACGUAAGUACGAUCAAAUCCUUAAAGCCUGUCUCAGUUCGGACUGGGGUCUGCAACCCGACCCCACGAAGCUGGAUUCGCUAGUAAUCGCGCAUCAGCCAUGGCGCGGUGAAUACGUUCCCGGGCCUUGUACACACCGCCCGUCAAGCCAUGAAAGCCGGGGGCGCCUAAAGUCCGUGACCGUAAGGAGCGGCCUAGGGCGAAACUGGUAAUUGGGGCUAAGUCGUAACCAGGUA
rnacentral:rRNA from 1 species